AUUGAAAGCUGGCGGCAGGCCUAACCCAUGCAAGUCGAACGAGUGGCGGACGGGUGAGUAACGUCUGGGAAACUGCCCGAUGGAGGGGGAGAACUACUGGAAACGGUAGAUAAUAUCGCAUACCAUCGGAUGUGCCCAGAUGGGAUUAGCUGGUAGGUGAGGUAACGGCUCACCUAGGUGACGAGCCCUAGCUGGUCUGAGAGGAUGACCAGCCAGACUGGAACUGAGAGACGGUCCAGCCUCCGUCGGGAGGCAGCAGUGGGGAAUAUUGCCCAAGGGGCGCAAUCCUGAUGCAGCCAUGCCGAGUGUAUGAAGAAGGCCUUCGGGUUGUACAGUACUGUCAGCGGGGAGGCGUUACCCGCACGAGAAGCACCGGCUAACUCCGUGCCAGCAGCCGCGGUAAUAC
rnacentral:rRNA from 1 species